UACGUAGGGGGCAAGCGUUGUCCGGAAUCAUUGGGCGUAAAGCGCGUGUAGGCGGCCCGGUAAGUCCGCUGUGAAAGUCAAAGGCUCAACCUUUGAAUGCCGAUGGAUACUGCGGAGCUAGAGUACGGAAGAGGCGAGUGGAAUUCCUGGUGUAGCGGUGGAAUGCGCAGAUAUCAGGAGGAACACCAAUAGCGAAGGCAGCUCGCUGGGACGUUACUGACACUAAGGCGCGAAAGCGUGGGGAGCGAACAGG
rnacentral:rRNA from 1 species